GGUAACUCACUCCCCCUUUAUGCGCUGACUGGUAGAGAAGUAGGAUGACCUUUAGCUUCAGUUUGGAAUGAAACUCACCCACCUUAUCCCUUCUAUACGACUAACCACCAUAGAAGCUACAUCCCAUUGCCUUGAUUCCUCUAUUCAGAAUUAAACCAAGACCAAGUCUGUGUUCCUUUUCCCUCCAAGUCGUAAUGAAGAGAAGAAAUAUCAUCAGCAGAAACUGAAUUUCCUCCCUCGUCUACUACCGCAAAUACCGUGAGCAUUUAGGAUGGAAAACCCAACGCUUCAACAAUUUCUCCUUCCAUUUUCUCGGUUGGUCAUACGCCUCUAGACAAAGGGUGCAGUAAUUUUCUACCCCUCUUGUACGUUCCCGUCUUGUUCAGCCUUGGAACAACACCCUUGGAGAUUGGAACAAAAGCAUAAAUCUUUUCCUUUCUAUUUCUGUGUUCGGCUGUGUACAAUUAUCAAGGUGAAGGUCAGGUAUUUUGCUCGCUGCCUCCUUGUCCCUUCUCGUUGGAAAGAGUUUUAAGUGAAGUUUUCUCUGUUGUUGUUGGCACAUGGUUCUGCCUAGCUUGAGUCGUCUCAUCCAUUGCAUGCAGCUGGUCAGUCUUCGUGGAAUAAUGGAGAGGGUAGUUCAUCAACCUUGGAUGCUGAAGGAAGGUGCACAAAGUCCUAGCUAAAUGGACUACUCGGUGAUGUGUUCAUUAAAGUAUUAAGGACUCGAGGAGGACGUAAAAGCUUUUGAGGACUUGGAUAUUUGCUGUUGGUUUCUACUAUUGGGCAUGCUGCUGUGAUUGUAUUAUUUUCAUGGAUGACUGUACUAAUUGUGGAUGUUUAAAUUAUUAGUGAACUAUGUUUGCAUUAUGUUUUAAGACUUUUAAGAACAACAAGUGUUUUGAAACGGAUUUCAGAACUGUUUCUACGAAAACUGAUUCAUGAUGUUUUAAAAGCUAAGUUAAAACUGUUUGUGCGAGCAUUUUGUAGGUUGGCGUCCUGGGGCUACGAACCUCUGAUUUUCUUAUAAUUUA